UUUUAUGGAGAGUUUGAUCCUGGCUCAGGAUGAACGCUGGCGGCGUGCCUAAUACAUGCAAGUCGAGCGAACAGAUAAGGAGCUUGCUCCUUUGACGUUAGCGGCGGACGGGUGAGUAACACGUGGGUAACCUACCUAUAAGACUGGAAUAACUCCGGGAAACCGGGGCUAAUGCCGGAUAACA
rnacentral:rRNA from 1 species